AUGCGGACCGGUCGGGCCGGUUCCCGGCCUGCCGGAGAACCGGUCUGGCUGGCCUGUUAUGCCAACAAAUUCUGGUUUGAGUCCACGUUCCGUAGAAACCUGCCCGGCCAGUUACAUGAAAGGCGUAUUGGGUUAUCCGCUGCACACCAUAUAUACCUGCAUGCAACCCAGCUUCUCCACCCAGCCCCGGUUUCUCGGCGUCCUCCGCGGUGGUCCGGGGAAGGGGCUCCCUCGGUCCUCUCGGCGCCGGAAGAUCAUCGCUCCGAAGGAAAUCAACUGUCGGCACGUUGGCCCGAAGCGGAGAUCGUCCGAGACCGUACGACGGAAGGACUAGAGUCAUCUCAAGAGGCUUGGCUGGACUGACCGUCUCCCUGGCUGCAUUUAACGUCUUAACGAUCAACCAUUUGGAUAGUGGAUAGUAGAGGUUCCCGGGAUGUCCCGAUAUGGAAUGAAUCAGAACUACAGUUAGACGCAGCAUCCGAAAGACAUUGCUAGAGCAGGGGAGAGAUUGUAGAAAGACUCUGGGAUCGUGAGUGCCCUCGGAGGAGGAACGGUCUUCUAAGAAGAAUGGAAAAACAUUUGUGUGUGAAAAACAAAGACCGGAAUCUGGUAACUGAUUAACUAUUGGAGCCCAGAAGCACUUGCUGAGCUGAACAGAAAGGUAUGAGGACAGGUUUUGUCAUGCCUAUAAGGGCCAAAGUACUUUAUAGCUAAGGAAAAUGGGAAUCUUCUCCUCACCUGGAUGAUACUGAAAAUUGCUUCUAUCCCUUCUCUUCCUUUUCGGUUCCUGGAGGGGACCUAUUUAAGUGAAUCUUUUUGCAGUUAGGUCAGUCAAUGAAAGGCAUGUAUUGAGUGCUUACUGUGUACAGAGCAAUAUACUAAGCGCCUGGGAGAGGUAAUGUCGUUACCACCCUUUAGGCCGGCCUGAUGGGAUGGCGUAUAAUUUCCUAGAGGCCUGGACAAGUCGUUUCUGGCAGACCAAGACAGCUUUUCAGGUACCGAUGUCUGGAUUUCUUUAGGGGGUAAGGAGACGGGUAACCGAUCUGAAGCCCUAUCCUGAGCUCCAGUGCUUCUGCAAGCUAAAACUGGAGUGGGUUUCUUUCGGGGGGAUAAUAACAGAGGAGGGCGAAAGGAAACUUGUUCUUUCUUUCUCUCAGAAAGAAAAUUGCUAUUUAGGUCAAGUCGUGUUGCAUUUUUAAGGAGAACACCCCCUCAUCCAUUCCCCAAAACUAAUCAGUAAGCUCUUGGUGGGCAGGGUUCACGUUUACGGACUCGUAUUGUACUUUCCCAAGUGCUCACUGCAGGGGUCUGCAUACAGUAGACUGUAAAAUCAAUCUGUAGGGAUGUGAAAUCAAUCAGUCAAACAUUUACUGAGCGCUUGCUGUGUGCAGAGCACUGUACUAAGCACUUGGGAGAGUACAAUAUAAUAAUAAACAGGCACGCUCCCUAUCCGCAACAAGGUUCUAGUCUAGAGAACCUACAGAGACGUUUUUCGUUUUGGAAGACCGUUCCUUCUCUGAUAAAUACCAAUAAAUACCAGUGAUUAAAGGGAAUUCUGCAUUCACGUUUGAAAGAUGAAAAGAUGCAGAAUUAGGAUGGUUCGAAGUACAAUUUUCUGCCUUUUUCAACGUAUACACAUUGUGGACCUAGCUAUGAUUUUCUAAACUGUUUCUUAAGUUGAUAUUUACCCCUCUUUUGUGUCUGAAAGGAGGCCCAGUUCACCUCUCCCAUUUCCUACCUUAGCGACCCUCAUAUUUAUGAUCUUGGCAUCCGUUUGGGAAUAGCUUUGGUUACCUGUUUUGCCUUGGGAAUUCAGGAGUAAAAAUUACAAACCUGUUUUUUUUUCUUUUUCCUGUUAGGACAUAGUGUCAAAGAGUUCUGGUACUCUGUGACAGGGGCUUCAG
rnacentral:lncRNA from 1 species